rnacentral:rRNA from 1 species
GACGAACGCUGGCGGCGUGCUUAACACAUGCAAGUCGAACGGAAAGGCCCCCACCUUGGUGGGGGUGCUCGAGUGGCGAACGGGUGAGUAACACGUGGGUGAUCUGCCCUGUACUUCGGGAUAAGCUUGGGAAACUGGGUCUAAUACCGGAUAGGACCAUGGUUUAGUGUCUCAUGGUGGAAAAAUUAUUGUUUUGGUGCAGGAUGAGCUCGCGGCCUAUCAGCUUGUUGGUGGGGUAAUGGCCUACCAAGGCGUCGACGGGUAGCCGGCCUGAGAGGGUGGACGGCCACAUUGGGACUGGGAUACGGCCCAGACUCCUACGGGAGGCAGCAGUGGGGAAUAUUGCACAAUGGGCGCAAGCCUGAUGCAGCGACGCCGCGUGGGGGAUGACGGCCUUCGGGUUGUAAACUCCUUUCGUUAGGGACGAAGCCACACCUUUUUUGGGUGUGGUGACGGUACCUUUGUUAAGAAGCACCGGCUAACUACGUG